rnacentral:rRNA from 1 species
UACGGGGGGGGCAAGCGUUGUUCGGAAUUACUGGGCGUAAAGGGCUCGUAGGCGGCCAACUAAGUCAGACGUGAAAUCCCUCGGCUUAACCGGGGAACUGCAUCUGAUACUGGAUGGCUUGAGGUUGGGAGAGGGAUGCGGAAUUCCAGGUGGUAGCGGUGAAAUGCGUAGAUAUCUGGAGGAACACCGGUGGCGAAGGCGGCAUCCUGGACCGGCAUUGACGCUGAAUAGCGAAAGCCAGGGGAGCAAACGGG